UACGAAGGGUGCAAGCGUUACUCGGAAUUACUGGGCGUAAAGGGUGCGUAGGUGGUUUGUUAAGUCUGCUGUGAAAUCCCCGGGCUCAACCUGGGAAUGGCAGUGGAUACUGGCAAGCUAGAGUGCGGUAGAGGGUAGUGGAAUUCCCGGUGUAGCAGUGAAAUGCGCAGAUAUCAGGAGGAACACCGGUGGCGAAGGCGGUGGUCUGGGCCGGCACUGACGCUGAGACGCGAAAGCGUGGGGAGCGAACAGG
rnacentral:rRNA from 1 species